rfam:Chishuiella changwenlii strain DSM 27989 genome assembly, contig: Ga0131172_103
GGUCCUAUAACUCAGUUGGUUAGAGUAGCUGACUCAUAAUCAGCAAGUCCUUGGUUCGAGCCCAAGUGGGACCA